ACGCCAUCUUGCCACUAAACCUGAUUUACCAACAUAACCUGUUUCUGGCCAUGCUGUGAAUCUGCAUUCUUUACUGUGUCCUUGGGAUACUAGGUCUCUGAUCAAGUGCCACAUCUUUAGAGAAGCUUUUCCAAACAACCGAUUAUGAAGUACACAUUAACAAUGAAGCCUCUUUUCAAGUAAAGAAGCCUUCAAGCUCCAGAUAAUCCUCAGUGAGGUAUACUGUCCGCUCAAUAUCCAAGAGUCACCCUUCUACAAGGGACCUCUAGACUGCCCAUAAGUGAGACAUGACAGAGGAGAAGCCCUGGGAGAAUGCAGUCCACAGGGGUCUUUACAGUGUUCCAUAAUCAACUAUUUCUUGAACAAG
rnacentral:lncRNA from 1 species